UACUUGUGAUGAUUAAUUUUAUGUGUCAACGUGUCUGGGCCACUGGGUGCCCAGAUAUUUGGCUACACAUUAUUCCAGGUGUGUCUGCGAGGGUA
ensembl:snoRNA